rnacentral:rRNA from 1 species
GAUGAACGCUGGCGGCGUGCUUAACACAUGCAAGUCGAACGAACCUUCGGGUCAGUGGCGGACGGGUGAGUAACGCGUGAGAAUCUGCCCUCAGGAGGGGGAUAACGGUUGGAAACGACCGCUAAUACCCCAUAUGCCGAUAGGUGAAAUGAAUUUCGCCUGAGGAUGAGCUCGCGUCUGAUUAGCUUGUUGGUGAGGUAAUGGCUCACCAAGGCUUCGAUCAGUAGCUGGUCUGAGAGGAUGAUCAGCCACACUGGGACUGAGACACGGCCCAGACUCCUACGGGAGGCAGCAGUGGGGAAUUUUCCGCAAUGGGCGAAAGCCUGACGGAGCAACGCCGCGUGAGGGACGAAGGCCUCUGGGCUGUAAACCUCUUUUCUCAAGGAAGAAGAUAUGACGGUACUUGAGGAAUAAGCCACGGCUAAUUCCGUGCCAGCAGCCGCGGUAAUACGGGAGUGGCAAGCGUUAUCCGGAAUUAUUGGGCGUAAAGCGUCCGCAGGCGGCCUUUCAAGUCUGCUGUUAAAGCGUGGAGCUUAACUCCAUUAUGGCAGUGGAAACUGAUCGGCUUGAGUAUGGUAGGGGCAGAGGGAAUUCCCGGUGUAGCGGUGAAAUGCGUAGAUAUCGGGAAGAACACCAGUGGCGAAGGCGCUCUGCUGGGCCAUUACUGACGCUCAUGGACGAAAGCCAGGGGAGCGAAAGGGAUUAGAUACCCCUGUAGUCCUGGCCGUAAACGAUGAACACUAGGUGUCGGGGGAAUCGACCCCUUCGGUGUCGUAGCUAACGCGUUAAGUGUUCCGCCUGGGGAGUACGCACGCAAGUGUGAAACUCAAAGGAAUUGACGGGGGCCCGCACAAGCGGUGGAGUAUGUGGUUUAAUUCGAUGCAACGCGAAGAACCUUACCAGGGUUUGACAUCCUGAGAACCUCUUAGAAAUUUGAGGGUGCCUUCGGGAAUUCAGUGACAGGUGGUGCAUGGCUGUCGUCAGCUCGUGUCGUGAGAUGUUGGGUUAAGUCCCGCAACGAGCGCAACCCACGUUUUUAGUUGCCAGCAUUUAGUUGGGCACUCUAAGAAGACCGCCGGUGAUAAACCGGAGGAAGGUGUGGAUGACGUCAAGUCAUCAUGCCCCUUACACCCUGGGCUACACACGUACUACAAUGCUACGGACAAAGGGCAGCAAACUCGCGAGAGCUAGCAAAUCCCAUAAACCGUGGCUCAGUUCAGAUCGUAGGCUGCAACUCGCCUACGUGAAGUAGGAAUCGCUAGUAAUCGCAGGUCAGCAUACUGCGGUGAAUACGUUCCCGGGCCUUGUACUCACCGCCCGUC